rnacentral:lncRNA from 1 species
GCUCUUUGGGAUAUUUGCAGAAUUUCAACGGAAGCAUUUUCUUGGCAUUGGAGAAAGGAAGAAAGACCAUUUACAAUUUGUCUUACAGUUGUUUUUCUCUCUUUUAAUUAAUUUUUAAAAAAAUCUUUCAAAUAAAGAGUUCAUAAGAAUUCCCUUUGACACCUCCCCCCUUUUUUAUUUAUUUCGUGCUGUCUAUUUUCAACCCUCAAAUUAACAUUUCCGAUCUAUUCAUGUACCGGACAGGCAACUUUCUGUAUCAAGAAGAAAAAUCACAAUGCCAUUAUACACAUGCAUGUUGUUUGCUGGGAGUCCCCGCCCGCAUAGAAAGAAAUAGCCCAUCUCCAAGAUACUAUAUUCCUGCAUCACGUGAUUUUUACCACGCGGAGCUUACAUGAGAACGAAUACCUAAUAUGGAAAGUGAAACUACACUUCAUUACAUAAAGUCCGAAAGCACAUAUAGGAAAAUGAAGGGUUUUUUUUGUCAACGGAUGCUGGGGUAAUCCUCUCUGUGUUUGAAAUAUAUACGAAAUAUUUGCCACUGCCCCUUUUUCUGUUCUAUAAAUUCUCUCAGAGUUUUCUAUCUCUUACUCCCGUGAACAUGCACCGUGGAUCCGCCAAUGCAAAAGGCAAUUUGCAGGAGCUCAAAACUAUCGUUAAAGUACUGUUUAUUCUAAACCAGUUUACAUAAUCGCAAUUCGCCCUCAUAAUCAAAGAAAAGAUAUUUCUUAAUACUUAGGUAAGAAAUAAUUUCAAUCAAUAAUGACAAAGAAUGACUUGUCUGACCUCUCCGGAGGCAGAUUGAAGGGGGCACCCGCACCUUUUUGUGGAAACUUUCUGGUUGUUAAUAUAGGGAAAGGGCCUCUUAGGCAACAAGUGGCCCCUCACUUAUGAACAUUUCUGGAUCCGCCGCUGCUCUCUAAAUGUAUUUAUACGGUUGUAUGCUGCUUCCUCAUUUAAAAAUACAAAAUUGUUAACAGUUUUAUAUUUAUAAAUAAAUAUAUAAAUUAAAUUUUGAUUAAAACAUCGAGAUCUGCAUAUUGUAUAAAAAUAAAUUAUAGUAUGGAUUUAUAUUGAUUCGUAUACCAUGGUCGAUUUUCGUAUUACGAAUCUCACGCCGAGGUAAAUAGCGGUGCUUCACAUUUGCUGUUUAACUUAUUAAAAUAAUCAAAAAUAAAUUGAAAUAAUGUAUAAUGAGUGUUAUUUUUUAAACGAAUGAAUACAAAGAAUUAGAAUUAUGAAUUUUAAAUAUUACUUUUUUUGUUAUCAUAAUUAAGAAAUUACGUACUCAAAAGAGACAACAAAAGUUAUAAUGUCCUUGCAUACUUGAAAAAGAUUGUAUACAUUUUACUAUGUUUUUUUUAUGGAUCGAUAUGCGUCCUCCUACAUGUAUAAUACUUAGUACAUGUAUAAUAACUCAAGUUUUUUUUACGUAGUAUUACAGUAGGAGUGCCGAGGGCGCGUGAGUCGUUUACUGAAUAAUCAAAAAUAACUUAAAUGUCAUAUAAACGUGUAGUCUUUCUACUUUAACAGGGUGUAUAAUUUCUGUUAGUUUACUAGUAUAUAAAAUUAAAAAUGACAUAACAAUGUCGUUAUCAAUUUCCUUUUACACUGAACAUUGAGAAUGUGCAUAUUUUCGAAUUUUAUAAUUUUAAUUGUUUAAGGCUUGUUAAAGACGGAAAUAAUAAGUACACAGUUUAAAACGAGAACUGACAUGGUUAGAUCACUUCCUUUAUACGGAAGUCAGGUUUAUUAGAGAUAUACUUUUCAACGAGGAUGUUUAGUAUAAUACAAACAUUGUAGUAUAAUUUUUUUUUAGUGAAAACUGUGUCUUGGAUAAUCUUUUAAACAUCUAAAUAUGUCCAAACCAAAGAUACGGAUUCUAGAUAUUGCAGCUUUUGUGUUAACUAUUUUAGCAACUAUUGUUCAAUUUGCUGGAUUUUUUUUACCCAACUGGUGGAGUUAUAAGUCUGAUACUACUGAAUUCAAAUUAGAAUAUGGAAUGCUAUUUUCAACGGAGUGUAGUGCUGCUGGAGAUUGCAAAGAAAACACAGCCGUUGUUAUCGAGGGAGGAAAAG